UACGGAGGGUGCGAGCGUUGUCCGGAAUCACUGGGCGUAAAGGGCGCGUAGGCGGCAGGUCAAGCGUGUGGUGAAAGCCCGGGGCUCAACCCCGGGUCGGCCAUGCGGACUGGCGUGCUUGAGCACUGUAGGGGCGGGUGGAAUUCCGGGUGUAGCGGUGAAAUGCGCAGAUAUCGGGAGGAACACCUAUGGCGAAGGCAGCUCGCUGGGACGUUACUGACGCUAAGACGCGAAAGCGUGGGGAGCAAACAGG
rnacentral:rRNA from 1 species